UUCUGAUAAAGUAGCAGUUCUUUCUCUAAAUGCCAUAUAAUGAACACCACACGUAACAAAUUUAAAACGGGUACGUCCCUGGCCGCCAACUGUGUCACCGAUGGGACGUCUCCCAGUUCGUCCAGCAGCUCGUUCAGUCGGUCCUGAGGCUCGGCUAUCACAUCCUGGUACUCCACCAGCAAAGCAUGCGUGUCUACUAUUUCCUAGAAAAAUAACUAACAUUUAUAAAGUUGUUACUCAAUAAAUAAAAUAUAGAUCUUAGUGUCGUGACAGAAAAUUAAAACUAUGUAUUAUUACUUGAAAUUCCCUUUAAUUAAUAUUACGUUCAGUAUUUUCUAA